UCUGGUCCAGAAGCCUGUGUGUGGAAACUCACCACCUGAGAAGGCAAUUACUUAUUUUGAAUCUGGCCCCCUGUUUGGUAUAUCUAAGUGACCUUUCCCUGUGUUCAUCGUCAGCUGUGGGUGACCUUGAGAUGAAAGGCCCCAGCUGUGAACAGUCCUGGGCCUUUCCUGGACAGUAAAACCAAGCAAUAAACAGCUGUGUGUUUUGUGACUAGAUAGGACUGAUGUUUCCUUUGAAGAUGUGAUCCUGCUGACCUUGUUAAAAAUACAAUGCAAGGAGCUACCUUGGAGCAGGUUGAUGGGGAAGAAGGACAAGCUAUACCUUUCCCUCUGCUGCUUCCUUUGAAAGGGGAAAUGCAUGCUUCUGUACAUGGAGUCAUCAUGAGGAGGCUUCGAUGAGAAUAUUGUUCACUGUAAGCACAAAUAAAAACCAACAUCCUCUGA